rnacentral:misc_RNA from 1 species
UCCGGCUUAUCACCGGCAGUUUUCUCAGAGUGCCCAGCCUUACCUGAUGGCAACAGAGAAUGAGGGUUGCGCUCGUUGCGGGACUUAACCCAACAUCUCACGACACGAGCUGACGACAGCCAUGCAGCACCUGUGCAUCUCCCACCCGAAGUGAAGAGCUCUCUUUCAAGAGCUCAUAGAGAGCAUGUCAAGGCCUGGUAAGGUUCUUCGCGUUGCCUCGAAUUAAACCACAUGUUCCACCGCUUGUGCGGGUCCCCGUCAAUUCCUUUGAGUUUUAAUCUUGCGACCGUACUCCCCAGGCGGGGUGCUUAACGCGUUAGCUACGCCACUGAAAACUAAGUUCCCAACGGCUAGCACCCAUCGUUUACAGCGUGGACUAC